GAUGAACGCUGGCGGCGUGCUUAACACAUGCAAGUCGAACGAUGAAGCCCAGCUUGCUGGGUGGAUUAGUGGCGAACGGGUGAGUAACACGUGAGUAACCUGCCCUUAACUCUGGGAUAAGCCUGGGAAACUGGGUCUAAUACCGGAUAGGAGCUUCCACCGCAUGGUGGGUGUUGGAAAGAUUUAUCGGUUUUGGAUGGACUCGCGGCCUAUCAGCUUUUUGUUGAGGUAAUGGCUCACCAAGGCGACGACGGGUAGCCGGCCUGAGAGGGUGACCGGCCACACGGGGACUGAGACACGGCCCAGACUCCUACGGGAGGCAGCAGUGGGGAAUAUUGCACAAUGGGCGCAAGCCUGAUGCAGCGACGCCGCGUGAGGGAUGACGGCCUUCGGGUUGUAAACCUCUUUCAGUAGGGAAGAAGCGAAAGUGACGGUACCUGCAGAAGAAGCACCGGCUAACUACGUG
rnacentral:rRNA from 1 species